rnacentral:rRNA from 1 species
UACGUAGGGGGCAAGCGUUGUCCGGAAUCAUUGGGCGUAAAGCGCGUGUAGGCGGCCCGGUAAGUCCGCUGUGAAAGUCGGGGGCUCAACCCUCGAAUGCCGGUGGAUACUGUCGGGCUAGAGUGCGGGAGAGGCGAGUGGAAUUCCUGGUGUAGCGGUGAAAUGCGCAGAUAUCAGGAGGAACACCGGUGGCGAAGGCGGGUCUCUGGGCAACUACUGACGCUGAGGAGCGAAAGCGUGGGGAGCGAACAGG